rnacentral:lncRNA from 1 species
AGGACCUCAGUGUCUCGGUGGAACCCGGCGCUUACCUCCAAGGCGAAGCCAUCCGGAUCCAGGCCUCCCUCCAGGCAGAAGCCGGGUUCUUCCCGAAACUGUUCAUAGACAGAUGCUACGUGCUGGACAACCCACAACAGAGCCAGUCCCGGGCACUCUUCUUCAUUGUGGACAACCAUGGGUGAGCUGGGCGGCACUGGGAGGCCACCCUCAGAGCUGGGGCAGGGAGAAAGCAGGCCUCCGAGCUGGAGAAAGGGGACAUUCAUAGAUAUCUUGGAGCUGGAGAAGGGAGAAAGUGGACCUCAGAGCUAUGGAAAGGAGAAAGUAGGCCUUUCUCAGAGCUAGAGAAGGGAAAAAGCAGGAAGUCUUCUUGUAGCAGGAGAAAGGAGGCCUCCUCAGAGCUGGGGAAGGGGGAAGGCAGCAGUCCCAACAGUCUAGUUGGUAUCUAUCAGUAUACGUCUGACCAAUCCCAAGGUUAUCCAUUCAUCCUUUGGACAAAACUGGACUCUCCUGGAGGAUGUCCUUCCCAUUGGGACUCCUUUCUGCUGCUCGGAUGGAUGUCCUUUCCACUUUGGAACCAUUUCUGGGGUGAAGUGACCCCUGGUUUUGCCCCGCAGGUGCCUCUACCCCGGCAACUUGAAGGCGGCCUGGUUCCGUCAAGAGGACCCGGCCGUGGUGCUGACCAUGCAGACCCGCGCUUUCUGGCUGGAUGACAAAACCCCCGAGGUAGGCACGAGGCGGGCAGGUGUCCCUCCCAAUGGGCCGCAGCUCCCCAGACACCCCUCGUUUUGCUAAGCCGAGAUGCCAAAGUGGUGUGUGUUGGGGUUUCUUCCGCCAGAUCCAUGUUCAUUGUUUACUUGCGGCCUGGAGUCAGAAGAGCCCAGCCAGUCCUGGGAAGAAGACCUGCUCCUACAACGUCACCUCAGCCCUGUGAGUUCUGCUUUCUCUCUCCCUUCUCCAGCCUUGAGAAGGAGGCCUCCUUCCUCCCUUCCCCAGCUCUGUCUUACCAAACGCUCUUCUCUCCUAGAUGGAAGAACGUGGAUGAGCCCUCUCGUCCCUCGGUCUGCCUCUGCUGCCAUGGCGUCUGCCCCUCGGAGCCCGGUCCCCUUGACCAUCCCCAAGGUGCCUCGGCCUUGGCCUCCUCCUGCUCAGCCCAACUCCGCCAGCCCCCCCAACCGCCCUCCGCCAGCCCCCCCAACCGCCCUCUUGCUCUCUUUCCUUGCAGGCUUUGUGGGCAAAGGGCAGCUCCACUGGGUGGCCCUGGGUCCUCUGCACCUAAGGAAGGAAGGGCUGCCCUGGUUGGAAGGGCACGGCCAGACGGUGAAGAAGCUGCUGGUGGUGAGCGCGGUCUUUGUGGGCAGCUGCGUGCUGGGCACCCUCGUGGCCCUGGGCCUGGCCCUCUUCCACCACCUGCGCCACAGCAGGAAAUACUGGCUGCUGAGUGGGGACCGGGCCGAGCACAUGGAGCUGCAGACGCUGGCCGGGGCCCUGGCCAUCAGAGAGGAGAUCGAGCAGGAGUCCCCCCUCAACUAGUGCAAGCUCCAGAACAACAGCCCCAAAAAGGACACCUGAGGAGGAGGAGGACUGCAUCCCAGAAGUGUCAAUAA